AGUGAACGCUGGCGGCAGGCCUAACACAUGCAAGUCGAACGGCAGCACAAGAGAGCUUGCUCUCUGGGUGGCGAGGGGCGGACGGGUGAGGAAUGCAUCGGAAUCUGCCCAUUUGUGGGGGAUAACCUCGGGAAACCGGGACUAAUACCGCAUACGACCUACGGGUGAAAGCAGGGGAUCUUCGGACCUUGCGCAGAUGGAUGAGCCGAUGCCGGAUUAGCUAGUUGGAGGGGUAAAGGCCCACCAAGGCGACGAUCCGUAGCUGGUCUGAGAGGAUGAUCAGCCACACUGGGACUGAGACACGGCCCAGACUCCUACGGGAGGCAGCAGUGGGGAAUAUUGGACAAUGGGCGCAAGCCUGGUCCAGCCAUGCCGCGUGUGUGAAGAAGGCCUUCGGGUUGUAAAGCACUUUUGUUGGGAAAGAAAAGCAGCCGGUUAAUACCCGGUUGUCAUGACGGUACCCAAAGAAUAAGCACCGGCUAACUUCGUG
rnacentral:rRNA from 1 species